rnacentral:lncRNA from 1 species
AUUCGACCUCGAUCGAACGAUGAUGGGUUACUAUUUUGAUAAGUUCGAAAUAACACCCUGUAAGGCCAGGGUCCUUCGCCAAAAAGAAGAGUUCGACCUCGAUCAAACGACGACGGGUUACUCUUUUGAUAAGUUCGAAAUAACACCCUUGAAGGCUAGGGACCUUCGCCAAAAAGAAGAGUUCGACCUCGAUCGAACGACGACAGGUUGCUCUUUCGAUAAGUUCGAAAUAACACCCUUGAAGGCUAGGGGCCUUCGCCAAAAAGAAGAGUUCGACCUCGAUCGAAUGACGAUGGGUUACUAUUUUGA